GAAGUGCGAUAAGCAGUGCGAAUUGCAGAACCGUGAGUCAUCAGAUUUUUGAACGCAACUGGCGCUGGCUGGGUCUCCAGCCAGCAUGCUUGUUUCAGUGUCUUGUUUUCUCCUCACCCAAAUCAUAAUGCGAGAGAUACCCUUCUCUUGCCAAGUACGAAAGCACUCUGUGCUCUGCGAGCGGUGUCUCCGACUUGUUCGGGUGCCGCACUCAAUGCAGCCGUCACAUUUUACAAUGUGAACUCAUUGAGAGUAGAGGCAGUGCAGCAUUGCUGUCAGUGCUUAGCCAUUUAAACUCUCCUUGUAUCUGAAAUCAAGCAGGAUCACCCGCUGAACUUAA
rnacentral:misc_RNA from 1 species